AAAUUCCAUGAGCGGUCACAACAAGCAACCUCUGACAAAACUCCUUCUACUUCUAUUUGAAGUGAAAAUGAUAGAUCAGACACCUUAUCGAUAGCAACAGCUCAUGGUCCUCCUGGAAUCAGGAGUUUAUUUGACUCAAUGGAGGAACGUAGUCAGAGAAAUGCUGAUGAAUGUCUUGCUUGAGCUGUGUAUGAAACUAGUUCACCUCUGAUGCUCACAGGGAAUGUGUAUUGGAAGAGAUUUCAGAAUGUUCUUCGCCCAGCAUACAGCCCUCCAACCAGACAUGCUUUAUCUACUCAUUUGCUGGAUGCAGAGUUCAACAGAGUUCAAGUGAAGGUCAAGCAAAUCAUAGAGAAAGCAGACUGUAUUGCAAUCAUCUCUGAUGGGUGGUCGAAUGUUCGUGGGCAAGGAAUAAUUAAUUACAUCAUCGCCACCUCUCAACCAGUAUUCUACAAGAGCACAGACACGAGGGACAACAGACACACCAGUCUCUACACUGCAGAUGAGCUGAAUGCAGUCAUCAAUGACCUUGGACCAGAGAAGGUAUUUCCACUGGUGACAGACAAUGCUGCAAACAUGAAGGCUGCUUGGUCUAAAGUGGAGGAGUCCUACCCUCACAUCACACCCAUUGGCUGUGCUGCUCAUGCAUUGAAUCUGCUCCUCAAUGACAUCAUGGCACUGAAAACAAUGGAUACAGCGACCUGUUGAUGAGCCAAGGAAAUGGUUAGGUAUGUGAAGGGUCAUCAAGUUAUGGCAGAAAUCUACCUCACCAAGCAAAGUGAAAAGAAUAAGAGAACCACUUUGAAGCUGCCCAGCAACACACGUUGGGGUGGUGUUGUCAUCAUGUUUGACAGUCUCCUGGAGGGAAAGGUGUCUCUCAAAGAAAUGGCCAUAUCACAGUCUGCCGAUAUGGACAGCCCCAUCAAGAGGAUCCAUCUGGAUGUAUUUUGGGAGAGAGUGAAAGUUUCCACCUCUGAAUAUUCCCCAAAAUGUGCAACCCUACUCACCACAAAGCUCAAGGCCCUGGGACUGAACUCCUUCCUAUGCAACUGGGUCCUGGACUUCCGGAUGGGCCACCCCCGGGUGAUGACGAUAGGCAACAUUAACCCCGCCACAAUGAUCCUCAACAUGGAGGCCCCACAACGUUGUUUCCUCAGUCCCCUCCUGUACUCCCUGUAUACCCACUACUGCAUGGCUUCACACAGUUCCAACUCCAUCAAGUUCCCCGAAGACUCGACAGUAGUAGUCCUGAUUACCAACAACCUCAGGAGGCAAAAGAAAUUCAAAAUGUCCCAGAGUGCCCUCAAUGUUCUACAGAAGCACCAUUGAGAGCAUACUGACGGGCUGCAUCACAUCACUGCAGCUCCACCGCUACUGAACAUUUGUAAACAUGAGUAUAUUAUUAUUAUUUUUGUAUUAUUGUUUCAUUCACACUCUUGGAGCUUUAGUAUUUCACUGUACACUGCAACUACAUCUGCGACCCUGUGCAUGUGACAAAAUAAAAACAAUCUAAAUCUUAACUAAUGUAAUCUGCUGCCCCUCUCAUUGAGUAUCUCAAAAUGAAGACGACCGGGGUACUGCAGGCUGCCAUUAUCAACUCAAUGAUCCUUUUUACUUCGUCUGUGUGCGACUUUAAAGUAAUUGGUUAAGGAAAUACAUCUGGUGAAAUAGAAGCAAUUAUUUGUACCACGAUUGUGUUCGAUUUGUUUUUAUAGACGGAUAUCCACGAAUAUUGACCACGAAGUUCGCCAUUACCCCAUUCACUAUAAUUUCACAAUGUAAU
ensembl:lncRNA